UCUGAGCUGCGCAGGAGCCAUUGACUGUCUCUGCCCAUCCGGCCCCGUAGUGAGCCCGCAGGAUGUGAUUGUAUCUGAUCGCCUGUUGGGCGACUAGCGAUGUGAUGACAGAAAAUUAAAGUAGCCACCAUUUAUUGAAGGAAUGCUGACUCUUGGAUUCCAGCCACCAUGCUCUGAGGAAGUCCAUGUCUAGAUGUCAUGACCAACAGCCCCAGAUAAGGUCCCAGCUAGCAGCCAGCACAUGUACGUGAAUGGGCCCUUAGAAACCUCCAGUUCCCAGCCAUGUAUUAACUUCCAGCCUUGGAGUCUUCUCAGCUCACGCUGCAAGCAGAGACAAGAGCGGUGAGAAGCCAUCUCCAUUUGCCCUUUCCAAAUCUUGAUCCACAGAACCUGUGAGCAUAACAAAAUAGUUCUUAUUUUAUGUCACUAUCUUUAUACCAGAACAGUACUUGAUCACAGGCUCCAACAAGAGUACCACAGUUUACCUGCUCUGGAACUGAGGACACCAUGCCUGGCAGUGGAAGCUCCACAAAAGCCAGCUGUGCUGUGAGGAUAACCUCUUGGUGCUGGGCAGCUGCCAUGCCUCCAAUUCACCCACCUUAUCCUCACGGACCAGUCAUCUCCCCUCUUUUGAAUUCCCCCCACCUCAGGUAACUUGGGGCUUUUUUCUUUAUUUUUCUAUCACUGAUUUCUAGGGGUGGGAGGGAAAGCCAAUUACAUAGUAAUAGUAACAGUAUAUCACAUGGCAAUAGUAGUAGGAACUGGAACAGAUUUUGCUGCUUGCAAAUGAGAUGAAUAUCAUAACAAAACAUAACAAAAUAACAUAACAUACAUAAAACAUACCACACUUGGUUGGGACAAAGUGUUGCAGCAAGGGUGGGAGGGGACCCUGAAGGAGAAGGUAAGAAGUCUAAAAACCUUGAGAAGGCUGCAGUAAGAACUCAAAGGGAGCUAAGAAGCUAGAGAAAAGGGUCCCUUGUUACAGCAUGCCAGAAAGUUUGGUCCAAGCUUUAGAAAGCAGACACAAACCAUCCCCAGUGUUUCCUGCCUAAAUUCCUGACCCAGAGAAUCCAAAAGCAUAAUAAAGUGGUUUUUCUUUUAUGUCA